rnacentral:rRNA from 1 species
UACGGGGGGGGCAAGCGUUGUUCGGAAUUACUGGGCGUAAAGGGCGCGUAGGCGGCUUUUCAAGUCGGGCGUGAAAUCUCCAGGCUUAACCUGGAAGGGUCGUUCGAUACUGUUAAGCUAGAGUGUGGAAGAGGCUACUGGAAUUCCGUGUGUAGCGGUGAAAUGCGUAGAUAUCUGGAGGAACACCGGUGGCGAAGGCGGGUCUCUGGGCAAUUCCUGACGCUGAGGCGCGAAAGCGUGGGGAGCAAACGGG